rnacentral:lncRNA from 10 species
UAGAGACAGGGUCUCACUAUGUUGUCCAGCCUCGGCUCGAACUCCUGGGCUCAAGUGAUCCUCCUUCGUCAGACUCCCUAAGUGCUGGGAUUACAGGUAUGGAACAGGCUGACAGAGCUGGAUCCAAAGGGCUCAGAAUGGAGCAACCAAGGUGUAUUCACCUGAUGCUUUGGUCUCCCUAAGCUCUUCCAUAGAAACGAUCAUAUAUCACCUCGGCAAUUGUUUUACGAUUUCUCACUGUGUUUCUCAGAAUGGUCUCAGACUCCUGGCCUCAAGCGAUCCUUCUGCCUGAGCCUCCCAAAGUGCCGGGAUUACAGGCAUGAACCACUGCACUCAGCCUGUUUUCAACCUUAUAUAAAUGGAAUCCUACUGUAUGUGCUUUUUGAUAUCUGGGCUCCUUUGCUCUAUAUUAUGUCUGUGAGAUUAAUAAACUUGUUUGUUCAGUUACGUUACUGCUGUGUAGCAUUCUAUUGUAU